rnacentral:rRNA from 1 species
GACGGAAGGUGCAAGCGUUGCUCGGAAUCACUGGGCGUAAAGGGUGCGUAGGCGGCUUGGUAAGUUGGGUGUGAAAGCCCCGGGCUCAGCCCGGGAAGGGCACUCGAAACUGCCGAGCUGGAGUGCCCGGAGGGGAGAGUGGAAUUCCUGGUGUAGCGGUGAAAUGCGUAGAUAUCAGGAAGAACACCCGUGGCGAAGGCGGCCCCCUGGGCCGUACCUGACGCUGAGACGCGAAAGCGUGGGGAGCAAACAGG